rnacentral:rRNA from 1 species
GACGAACGCUGGCGGCGUGGUUAACACAUGCAAGUCGAACGGAAAGGCCCUGCUUUUGUGGGGUGCUCGAGUGGCGAACGGGUGAGUAACACGUGAGUAACCUGCCCUUGACUUUGGGAUAACUUCAGGAAACUGGGGCUAAUACCGGAUAGGAGCUCCUGCUGCAUGGUGGGGGUUGGAAAGUUUCGGCGGUUGGGGAUGGACUCGCGGCUUAUCAGCUUGUUGGUGGGGUAGUGGCUUACCAAGGCUUUGACGGGUAGCCGGCCUGAGAGGGUGACCGGCCAAAGUGGGACUGGAAGACGGCCCAGACCCCUACGGGAGGAAGGGGUGGGGAAAAUGGCACAAGGGGGGGAAGCCUGAUGCAGAACCGCCGGGGGGGGGAUGACGGCCUUGGGGUUGUAAACCGCUUUCCCCUGUGACGAAGCGGGGGUGACGGUAAUGGGUAAAGAAGCACCGGCUAACUACGU